AAACAUCGCCUCCUGCAGUAUAUAGGAGGUCCAGCCUGCCCAGUGACCAAGUUAAACGGCCGCGGUACCCUAACCGUGCGAAGGUAGCGCAAUCACUUGUUCUUUAAAUGAGGACUAGUAUGAAUGGCAUCACGAGGGUUACACUGUCUCCCGCCUCUAAUCAGUGAAACUGAUCUCCCCGUGAAGAAGCGGGGAUAAAACUAUAAGACGAGAAGACCCCAUGGAGCUUCAAACCCGGCAUCAACCAUUAACAUUAAUACCACAUUAAGUAAAUGGACCUGACUGCUGGUUUUAGGUUGGGGUGACCGCGGAGCAUAACAAAACCUCCAUGAUGAACGACCUCCUCUCUAAUCCGAGAGCCACCACUCAAAGAAUCAAAAAAUUGACAUUUAUUGACCCAAACUAUUUUGAUCAACGAACCAAGUUACCCUGGGGAUAACAGCGCAAUCCAUUUCAAGAGCCCCUAUCGACAAAUGGGUUUACGACCUCGAUGUUGGAUCAGGGUAUCCUAGUGGUGCAGCCGCUACUAAAGGUUCGUUUGUUCAACGAUUAAAACCCUACGUGAUCUGA
rnacentral:rRNA from 1 species